rnacentral:pre_miRNA from 9 species
UCUCGAUAGCGUAAAAGUUAACUCACAUUUGUAUGGAGUUGGAACGUUUGCCUACGUUUACCGCUAGGGGCGCUGUUUCUACUGCAUAUAAAUUUCAGUUACUUUUACGUUAUCGA